UCAACCAGGAAAGCUGGAGAACAUGGCCAAAGGUGUAUUGUAUGGCAUAAUUGAGGAUCUAUGCACAUUCAUAUUGAAAGAGGUCAUUCCCAUUGAAGGAAAAUAUCAUGAUGCUACUAGUACAUUAGCUAGAUCAGUGUUUUGAGUACUCACAGAAAUUGGUGCACGGUUCUGCCUUUCUGCCUUUCUCCACGUGCUGGGCUUGCAUCCAUGGCCACGAAUCUCGCCCACAAAGCUUCCAUCCAUGGCAGCCGUGACCCGGUCCCCCAGCCACGCUGCCUUCCAUCCAUGGCUGCCCACGCGCCCGGCUCCCCAUUUUCUUGCACGACGUGAGAUGGAGAUUCUGCAUUACCCACAAAUCACAUCCAUGGCCGCGAAUCGUCGGUCUGCCAAAUCCGCCGCGAAUCUCGCCCACAAAGCUUCCAUCCAUGGCUGCCACGACCAAUCCAUGGCAGCCACGCCCCGGUCCCCCGACCGCACCGGCUUCCAUCCAUGGUUGCCCGCGCGCCUGGCUCCCCCUUCCCUUGCACGAUCCGCUCCUGGAGCGUGGACAUGAGCGUCGCCCACUGCGCCUGCUUCGGCGGCGCGACGGGGGCUGGUGGCCACGGACGCCAGGUCCUGGCAUGGCACCGCGCCGACCACCGUCCACGUGGCGAAGACGAGGAUGGAGCUCAUGGUGUACAACGCCAGUCCGAGCCCACACCCCGCGCCCAUGCCCGAACUCCCCACCGUGCUUGAGCGAGGUGGUGGCAACGACGUUGAGGGAGAUGGCGACAAGCAAUCCUAGCAGGGGCAUGGCGCAGAGAUUCAACCGCCUCGGUCAGUGGAGACGGCACCAACCCGCCGUGUGCUCUCAGGUCUGAGAUCCCUGCUUUUAGAUCCCCUUUUUCCUCCCUUUGCUCCCGAAGUGCGUCCCCUUCUUCCCCCCUUUGUGCUCCCUUUGUUCUCGCUUUGUUUGUUUCUACUACUUUGGUGGUUGUGACCGAAGCGCUUCUCUUGGGAGAACACGUAGAGCUAUUAUUAGCUUGAGGAAGGAGUAGCCUUUUGUCUGUACUUGUUCUGCUGGGAACUUGGGCGACAACAAUGAAGCUAAGCAGACCAAUAUUCUUUCUGGGCACUUUGAUUUUGCUGGUUUGUGUAAUAGGUCAAUACAUCUCAUCAAAGAAAGAAGGAAUUCGGAUAUUGCACCUAUAGGUUCACUGCAAUUAGGUGUUUGUAGGCACCGAGCUGACCUAAUGAAGUAUUUGUGUGACCGGGCGGAUCCUCCAAUUCCUUGUGAGCUUGUGAGGGGCCAUCUUGACUAUACACCUCAUGCUUGGAACAUUGUUCCUGUUAAAAAGAGGAAUGGCUGGGUAAGGAUGAUUGUUGAUGCUUGUUACCCCACCAACAUAAAGGAAGAAACAGAUCCAGAGUACUUUUGCAGGCAUCCACAGAGGAAAUUGGUGCACGGUUCUGCCUUUCUGCCUUUCUCCACGCGCUGGGCUUGCAUCCAUGGCCGCGAAUCUCCGCCGUGAAUCUCGCCCACAAAGCUUCCAUCCAUGGCUGCCGCGACCAAUCCAUGGCAGCCGCGCCUCGGUCCCCGUACCUUGGGCAAAUGUGUUUCUAUGUUUCCUGAGUUGUGUUGGCUAGCCCAUGAUAUAAAGUGAUCAUUGCCUAUCUAUUACUUAGAUUGAUUAA